rnacentral:lncRNA from 1 species
UCAGGGGAAGUGAGAGCACAGUUGGAUGGUUUUCAUUUGACCAAUAAGGAAACCUGCAGCGGUAAUUUGUUAAUCAGCCCUAAGCUCACCGAAUGAUUCUCCAAACCUCCUCCUUCCCAUGGUCCCUGGAUCAGGAAAUCUGAAGUACUCCCCUGUCUCCCUGCCAGCCGUUGGCCACUGACAACUUUAUUUACCAAUAAAAUCAACUGGGGGCAGCGAUCCUCAGCGUCUUACAGGCAAUAGCAUUAGAACCAAUCUACAACAGAGGCCUGGCUCAAUUUUGUAGGUAAUAGAGCUUAUACAUUUUGUGAGGUCGUUCUAUGUGAAAA